rnacentral:rRNA from 1 species
UGUUAGGUCAAGGUGCAGUUUAAAAAAGAAAAUUAUGGGUUACAUUAAAAAUAAUGAAUGAAUUUUAUUUUUUUUUAAAUAGAUGAAUUAGAAUUUAAUAGUAAAUUUAUUAUAAAGUAAUAUAAUGAAUAAAGAUUCUGAAAUAUGUACAUAUUGCCCGUCGCUCUUAUUUUAUAAUAAGAUAAGUCGUAACAUAGUAAGUGUACCGGAAGGUGUACUUGAAUUUUUUUGAAUGAAUAGCUUAAUUUAAAGUUUAUUAGUUACAUUAAUAAGAUACUUAAAAGGUUUUAUUUAUAGUAAUUAAUUUUUUAAUGUAAAAUUGUAAAAAGGGGAUUUAUAAUUUAUAUUAGAAAAUUAAUUAUUGUACCUUUNNNNNNNNUUAAUUAAAAUUAAUUUCACAUGAAUUUUUUUCGAAAAAAAAAGAUUUAAAUAUAAAAUUUAUUUAAUGUUAUAUAAUUAUUUUUAWAUUUAUAUUUAGUAUUGAGAUUAUUCACGAUUUUUUAUAUCUAAUUACUUUAUAAUUAAUAAAAUUAAUUUAAAUUUUGUUUAUUAAAAAUUUAAAAAAAUAUUUAGGGGUAAGCUUAAAUUUAAUUUAUAGAUAAUUUAAAUUUUAAAAAUUGAGUUAUUAAAAUUGAAAUUUUUAGUAUUUAAUAUUUAAAAAUUAAUCAGUUUAAAAUUAAUAUUUUAUAUUUUCUUUAAGGGGGAGUUAAAGUUAAAUAAUAAAAUUAUAUUAAUUUUUAAAAUAAUGAUUAAAUUAGUAGAUUUUAAUAUUAAUUUAUAAGAAUUUGGCAAAUUUAAAAUUUCGUCUGUUUAUCAAAAACAUUUUUAUAAGAAAAUAAAAUUUAUAAUAGUACCUGCUCAAU